rnacentral:rRNA from 1 species
AAUCAACGCUGGCGGCGUGCCUCAGACAUGCAAGUCGAACGCGAAAGUUUCCUUCGGGAGACAAGUAGAGUGGCGCACGGGUGAGUAACACGUAGGUAAUCUACCUUUGGAUGGGGAAUAACAACCGGAAACGGUUGCUAAUACCGCAUAAUGCAGCGGCACCUAAUGGUGACAGUUGUUAAAGCGGGGGAUCGAAAGACCUCGCGUCUAAAGAGGAGCCUGCGGCGAUUAGCUAGNGGUAAGGUAAUGGCUUACCAAGGCUACGAU